GAUGAAGAACGUAGCGAAAUGCGAUAAGUAAUGCGAAUUGCAGAAUUCAGUGAAUCAUCGAAUCUUUGAACGCACAUUGCGCCCGCCAGUACUCUGGCGGGCAUGCCUGUCUGAGCGUCAUUUCAACCCUCGCCCCCGGCUUCUGUCGGGGACGGUGUUGGGGAUCGGCCUCCCGUCUUCCGGGUGGCCGGCCCCUAAAUUGAGUGGCGACCACGCCGUAACCUCCUCUGCGUAGUAGUUAAACACUCGCGGGCGGAGAGCGGUGCGGCCUGCCGUAAAACCCCCAACUCUUCUAAGGUUGACCUCAGAUCAGGUAGGAAUACCCGCUGAACUUAAGCAUAUCAAUAAGCGGAGGA
rnacentral:misc_RNA from 1 species